GUUUUUCCUGAGAAGCUGUGCAGGCCACAGGCUUGGCUGGACCUGGCUGGGGUUGCUUCUCCUUUAUUGUGUGUACAGAGAUGGGGCACACGUGUGGAGUGAUGUUUUCCUCUGUUGGAUGCUCUAGUCAAGGAAAUGGGCUGCUGAUAAGGGAAGGAGCUGCACAGGCAGGACUGCCUGGCGCGCUCAUCGCUGGGAAGAUGCGACUUCCUCUGAACUCUCAGGAAGAGAGGAGGCAGAAGUCCAAGAAAAGCCAGGCUUUUGCAAUGCAAGCAGAGGUCUGAGCCUGUCCCAGCUCCAGGUCCAGCAGGACUCGGGGGAACCUUAAACUAUGAAGGGCAGUGACACAACACUGCUGUUGGAAUCCAGUCCCCAGUGGCAUGCCUGAAACUCUCCUGGGAAACUUCCACAUCCCACAAAAUCAAAGAAGGUCAAACCCUGCCUGGAAGCAACAUAACUUCAUUAUUCCAAGUUCACAGGUGAUAAAUUUGGUGUCCUUGGCCAGAUGUGAGAUAUAUUCAGAGUCAUCUUUACCUAAAGAAACAGUGGUGCUCUUGUUCUGGGCAGAUCCUCAGGUCAUGCCCUCCUUUGCAGCCUUCUGGUCCAGCAGCUGUUCAUGCCUGUGGCCCCUUGGUCAUGGGUGUCAUCUCCACUGUGAAUGCAGCUCCUUGAUGAGAGCUAGGAAGUGUCAAAUGAGAUUUCAGUGCAGGGAACAAAAACAUGCAGCUGGAAAAUAAGUCAGGAGGACUUUUCACCAAGGAAAAGGCUCUCUGUGGCUGGGUCUCCUGCCCAGCUCCAAGCUGCUGAGCUUCCUUGGCAUCACCCUCCAACCCUCUCUCCCCUCUGUGCUGAUUUGCAGCCCUGUUACAUCUUUGUACACAUGAUCUGAUGUGGCCAGAGAUCCCCCAGCAGCCUUGGUUUUCCUCUGACCCAUCAUAUGGCAGAAAUUUAAGAUGGCUUAAGUAGAUUUUGUUUAUUUAUUCUGCACCUCAGCCAUCAGAGACUGCCAGUGCCAGGGUGUGAAUUACAGUAAAAUAAAUAAAUGCACUAAUUGCUGCUGCUUUAUAUUGGAAAUAAUUCUUGCUUAUGAAAACAUCUCAAAAGGUGUAGAAAGGAGACACAUCUGCUCCAGACCAGGCAAAUCAACUGUCUUAAUGAACCAUUAACACAGGCUGUCAAAAAACCCACUCUGAACCAAGGUGAAGUUCCCACAUUGGUCUCUGAGCCUGGGGUGAAGCUCAUGAUGUUCAUCUUAUUGCAAGCACAGGACUGUUGGUGGAACAGUGUGAACAGAAAUAGAGGAAGAGCAAAGCAAGGGAGAGGUAACUCAAGUUUAUGCUGUGAAGGAAUUCACACCCACUGGAGUUGUAUGCAUGGCUGUAACCACGUUCUGCUGCAGCCCCCGAGCCAAAAAAUUGACAAAAAAAGAAAGGAUGGGAUGUGGGGAGGAGGGGAAAUGUUAAUCACCAUCUUUCCUUUCCUAUAAAUGUGUUAAUGGUUUAGUAAGUGUUUCCAAAAAUGUCUGUGUGGGAUUAAAAUAGAAGCCAUGGCCAAGUUUGAAAUGAGCUCUUGGAUGGGGAGCAGACAGGGGGGUAAAUCCUGGUGAUCCCAUCCAAGGCACAGGGAAAUGUCCAGCACAGGAGGAUGGAGAGGGUGAAGUGUUUGUGCUGGGAACUUUCUGUUGGCUCUUUGGGGAGCUUGGUCAUCCCAGCAAGUGGGAACAGUGCUCCACAUAAUCAAAAAGUACCACCUACCAAAGCAUGUGAGGGUUGCCAUGGAAAUCAGGAGUUGUUACUGAAAAAGCAGGAAAAUCAUGAAUGAUCUGGAAAACCAUGGAUUUUUGGAGCUUCCUGUCCUCUGCUAUGUAAAACCCCAGCCCAGACUGUUGAAUUCCUUUCUGGGAGGAUUUUGCCCCUGCUGCUGCAGCUGCACAGGACAGCAGGUUGUACAUGCAUUUAUGGGGGCACAUAACCCACGCUCUUCAUUGCAGCUCUGGCCCACUGACUGCUCCAGAGGAUGGGUAGGAACUGAAACCAGGGAUGGAAAUUACCUGGAUGGAAACCUCUGCUGUGGGUCACAGCAGGGUGUGACAAGCCCCAGGCAGAAAAGCCCCCAAAUUAUCCAUGAGUAUCUCAUCUGGAAGACUUGUCCAGACCUGUUCCCAGGGAAGAGAGUGAACCAGGAGAGAGGAUCAGAAAGCUGGGGACAGACUCCAUAACUCACCAGUGGCUGGUGGAGGAUCCCCUCCAUGAAAAGGGUGGGAGGGGGUGUAACUUGCCAGAGGAUCUCGGAAAACACUCUUGUUCCAGUAUCCACAACAUUCAGAGACUGACAGCCAUGGUGAGCAGGAAAGACUCAGGAACUGGCUCCAGGACAGAUCAGAUGGAAGCCAUUCUUAAACGAAC